rnacentral:rRNA from 1 species
GACGUAGGGCGCGAGCGUUUGUCCGGAUUUAUUGGGCGUAAAGAGCUCGUAGGCGGCUUGUCGCGUCGAAUGUGAAAACCCGAGGCUCAACUUCGGGCUUGCAUUCGAUACGGGCAGGCUAGAGUUCGGUAGGGGAGACUGGAAUUCCUGGUGUAGCGGUGAAAUGCGCAGAUAUCAGGAGGAACACCGGUGGCGAAGGCGGGUCUCUGGGCCGAUACUGACGCUGAGGAGCGAAAGCGUGGGGAGCGAACAGG